rfam:Gossypium arboreum cultivar AKA8401 contig_53966_1, whole genome shotgun sequence.
UCCUCAAUAGCUCAGCUAUAGAGCGGCCAGCUGUUAACUGACUAGUCGUAGGUUCGAAUCCUACUUGAGGAG